UAAAAUGUUCUUUUUCUGCACACUUUUAGACAGAGAGCUGUCUCCGAAUAUGAGAAGAAGAAAAAUGUCAAUCAGAUAAACCAAAAGAAGAAUUGUUUUCAGCUAAAGCUGUGUUUUUCUUUGGCGUCUGAUGGAUGAUGCUGUGACUGUGGCAUGGAAUUCACAGUUAGUUUUCCCAGAAAGGAGGAAUAUGGUCCAUGAUGCAGAGAUAUGCUGCACACCUGAAUCCUGCCAUGAGGGAAGAGUUGGGCACAACAGCUUUAGGGAUGGUGGAAUAGAAGAAACAGUUGCACCAUCCUUUGGAAGAUAGUGCGGCAGGCAAGAGAGCCAUGGCGGUCUUACCAGUGUCCAGCACUCUCCCUCUACUCUUGUGCAUAAGAAGAAACAAUCCCUGGAGGUUAGAGAAGGACAAAAUCCAGUGAAGUUGUGCCCAGUGUCUCUGACCACAUGGGGAUUUAUCCAGCUGCUUGUUUUG